rnacentral:tRNA from 1 species
GGAUGGUGGCUCAGUGGUAGAGCACUUGCCUAGCAUGUGUGAGGCCCUGGGUUCGAUUCUCAGCACCA